rnacentral:rRNA from 1 species
UAUUACCGCGGCUGCUGGCACGUAUUUAGCCGUCGCUUCUUCUGUUGGUACCGUCACUUUCUUCUUCCCAACUGAAAGCACUUUACGAUCCGAAAACCUUCAUCGUGCACACAGAAUUGCUGGAUCAGACUUUUGGUCCAUUGUCCAAUAUUCCCCACUGCUGCCUCCCGUAGGAGU